rnacentral:lncRNA from 1 species
CCAGAAGCCAGAGGGGGCAGGGAUGGUCUCCCUGGAGAAGGGACAGCCCAAGGACAGGGGAUUUUGGCCUGGUGCUACCCUCCAGAGCUCUCAGGUAGCACAUCUGUGUGGCCCUCAGCUGCAGCAUCGCAGGGGUUGCCACCAAGGCUGGGACGCCUGCUGCCUGUCGCCUGUCGUCCUCACGGUGAGGAGGCUGGCCGAGCAGGCUUGGGUAAUGCCCCUGGAGGACGCUGGCUCCUCCCGACCGCUCCGGCCUUCAGCCCCUUCACUCUGCCUCCCCCGCCCUUCACCCUUCCUGUGACCCCCAGAGCUGCUGGGACCUGAUCCCUCGGGCUCCUGUUGCCCCCUGGAGCAGCCCAGGGCAGCACAUCGCUGGACCUUCAUUUUGAGAGCUGACUGUGAGAUGGGAGGCCCCGGAGAUGGCCCUGGCUCUGCGGCCUGCAGCUCCCGACCAGGCUGAGCGCCCACCUGCAGCCACCUUUCCUGCUGGAGAUGGUCACCAGGAAAGGAAACCUGCGUCCACACAGAAACGUCUCCACGACACUCCAGCUGCCCAGGAAGCAGCCGGGUCGGUGGGCAGGAGGGUGGGGACAAACCGGGUGUUUGUGACAGUCCACAGCAAGGAGAGACACCUACCUGGCUGCAGCCUGCGGGAGUCAGAGGCCAGGUUGGAGUGGCGGUGGGGGC